CCUACGGGAGGCAGCAGUGGGGAAUAUUGCACAAUGGGCGCAAGCCUGAUGCAGCCAUGCCGCGUGUGUGAAGAAGGCCUUCGGGUUGUAAAGCACUUUCAGCGAGGAGGAAAGGAUGUAAGUUAAUAUCUUGCAUCUGUGACGUUACUCGCAGAAGAAGGACCGGCUAACUCCGUGCCAGCAGCCGCGGUAAU
rnacentral:rRNA from 1 species